CUGAUUCUAUUCAUUAGUUGAACAAUGGCAUAAUGCCAAUACAUAAACCAAGCAAUUUGCUUGUCAAAAUCUGCAUAAUGAUACCUAAUCAUCACCUACUACCACUAAUACAUUGAAACUUGAAAAACUAAGCUUGCACACUUAAACAAAGCUGACUUAACAGCUUAAUUGUCAUCAAAAUACAUCAAUCAUAAACCUAACAUAGUUCUAAAUGAACUAAAGUACAUUACAUUAACUUAAGAUUACAAGUUGAACAAAAUAGGAAUAGUUCAGCUCGUUCCAGCAGCUCCUGCAUGACUUGGUCUUGAUGGCCUGCAUGCUGUCGAGUUUGCUGCAUGCUGAACCAACUUCAUCACUCCUCCUUGGUUUGCAUGGAGCAAACACCUAGCAUCUUUCUUAGAUAUUCAAACCUUGUGACACUAAGAGCUUUGGUUAAAAUGUCAGCAAGUUGAUCCUCUGAAUUACAGUGGAUCAGCUUUACUUCCUGAGCUUGCUCCAUUUCUCGAACAACAUGCAACUUGAUGCUGAAAUGUUUUGUUCUUCCAUGGAACACUGGAUUUUUAGCAAUUGCUACUGCAGAUUGAUUGUCACAGAAGAUCUCUGUUGCUUCCAUUUGAUCCAUAUUCAAAUCAGCCAGGAUUUUCCUAAGCCAAAUGGCUUGGUUGACAGCACUUGCUGCUGCCACAUACUCUGCUUCAGCAGUAGAUUGUGCCACCAGACUUUGCUUCUUCGAGCUCCAGCAGAACAUGGCUGAACCAAGUUUAAAAGCAUACCCUGAGGUGCUUUUCAUGUCAUCUAUCGAUCCAGCCCAGUCACUAUCAGUGUACCCAACUAGAUUUAGAUUUCCUUUCCUGCUGUACCUUAAGCCAUAGUCCAAAGUGCCUUUGACAUAUCUGAGCACUCUCUUGGCAGCCUGGAAAUGCUUCUCAUUGCAACAAUGCAAGAACCUUGAGAGCAAUCCUACAGCAUACAUUAUGUCUGGUCUAGUGGCAGUCAAGUAUAGCAAACAACCAACUAGACUCCUGUAGGUAGUUUCACAUACCUUCUCAAAAUCUCCUUGGCUCGAUAGUUUUUCUCCAACAGCAACAGGUGUUUUAGUUGGUUUGCUGUUUUGCAUGGAGAACUUGGUCAGAAUCUUUGUGGCAAAGCUCUUCUGACUUAAAAAUAUCCCAUUCUGUGCUUGAGUCACCUCCAUUCCAAGAAAAUAGGACAUCUCCCCAAGAUCAGACAUUUCAAACACCUCUUGCAUCUUGGUCUUGAAGUUAACCAGCACUGCUUGAUCUCCUCCUGUCACCAGCAGGUCAUCAACAUAUAGGGACACAAUGAGUUGUGUUUGUGUCCCUUGCUUCUUGACAUACAGUGUUGGCUCACUCUUGCUUCGAUUGAAUCCUAGAUCAGUCAAGUAGCCAUCGAUUCUGCUGUACCAGGCCCUUGGAGCCUGUUUUAAGCCAUAUAGGGCCUUCUUCAAUUUGUAGACCAUAUGCUCUCUGCCAGCUAUUUCAAACCCUUGUGGUUGUUCAAUAUAGAUGUCUUCAUCUAAGAAACCAUUCAGAAAGGCUGAUUUCACAUCAAGUUGAUGAAUCUUCCAUUCGAGCUGUGCUGCUAAGGCAAUCAGCAGUCUGAUGGUGUCGAGCCUGGCCACUGGUGCAAAGGUCUCCAAAUAGUCCAAGCCAUACCUUUGACUGAACCCCUUGACCACUAGCCUUGCUUUUAACUUGUUCAAGGUACCAUCAGCAUUCUGCUUGGCUUUGUACACCCAUUUCACCCCAAUCACCUUCCUUUUGACUGGCCUUUCAACCAAUUUCCAGGUCUGGUUCUUCUCAAUCAUGCUGAUCUCCUCAGCCAUUGCCUGCUUCCACCCUUGUUGAGCCUCAGCCUCUUCAAAGUUGCUUGGCUCAGCUAUGGCUACAUGAGCCCUUUCAUAAACCUCAGCCAAUGACCUUGUUCCUCUGACUGGUUCAUCAUCAAUAUCCAUUUCAGGGACAUUUUGGUCUGGCUCAGCUUGGUCUACUGCAAGUUCUUCAGAAACUUCUUCAGGUUCAUGUCUUUCCCAGUUCCAACAUGACCUCUCAUCAAAUACCACAUCCCUGCUUAUUGACACUUUGUUUGUUGAAGGAUCUAAAAUCCUAUAGCCCUUCUUAACAGUGCUAUAUCCCACCAAAACACCAGGUCGAGCCCUUUCAGACAAUUUGUCCCUUUUAACAGCAGGUACAUGUGCAUAACAGAUGCAUCCAAAGACCUUCAGAUGAGCCAAUGAUGGCUUGAAGCUAAACCAGGCCUCGAAUGGGGUCUUUUGAUCCAAAGCCUUGGUUGGAAGUCUAUUUUGAAUGUAUGUUGCAGUGUUAACUGCUUCUGCCCAUAGUGCUUUAGGCAGAUUUUUCUGAAUCAUCAAGCACCUGGCCAUAUCCAUCAAACUCCUAUUCUUCCUUUCACUUACCCCAUUCUGCUGAGGUGUAUAUGUGUUGGUAAGUUGAUGUUUGAUGCCUGCCUUAUCACAGAAGGCUUGGAACUGAGCUGAGGUGUACUCAGUCCCAUUAUCAGACCUUAUGGUCUUCAGCUUGCAGCCUGUUUCAGUCUCAGAAGCAGUCUUGAACUUCCAAAACACUGAGGCCACUUCUGAUUUCUGUUUUAAAAAGUAAAUCCAGCAAUAUCUCGAGAAAUCAUCAAUGAACAGUAUGAAAUACCUGUUUCCACUUAAUGACUCAGUCUUCAUAGGGCCACACACAUCAGUAUGCACCAGUUGGAGUUUUUCAGAGGCUCUCCAGGCUUGAUUCGAGGGAAAUGGGAGUCUGGCCUGCUUUCCUAGCUGACAUACAUCACAUACAUCAUCAUGGUCCACUGAGUUGAUGAAAUUUUCAGCCAGGUCCUCUCUGACCAUUCGAGCCAUCGAUCUGAAGUUGGCAUGUCCCAAUCUUUGAUGCCACAGCUUGGAUUCAUCUGAAGUGGCUGUGUAGGCAAUGUCUGACUUUUUUGUCCAGUCAACCACAAAGCUCUUAUCAGCCAUAGGGACUGCCAUCAGUUUGGAUCCACUUGGAUCACUGAUUUGGCACUGGUGGUCUUUAAACACAACUGAAUAACCUUUUUCCAGCAACUGAGCUAUGCUGAGCAGGUUUCUGUCAAUUUCAGGCACCAACAGCACAUUUGAAAUCACUUUGGUACCUGUAAGGGUGCAUAUCAGCACAUCACCCUUGCCUUCAGCUUGAAUAAAAUGACCAUUUCCUAUCUUGACUUUAGUUCUGCAGCUUCUGUCUAAAGACUUGAAGAUUGCAGCAUCAGGUGUCAUGUGGUUGGUGCAUCCACUGUCUAGGAGCCAACCAGAUGAGGACCUUUCCUGAGCAGCUGAGCAUGACACAGCAAAGACUUGUUCCUCUUGGUCACUGUCCUCCUUAGCUACUCGAGCCUCAGCUUUCAUCUGUUGAAACUGAUUCUGCCUCGAUUUGGUCUUACUCUUGCAGACUCUCUCAACAUGACCCUUCUUCUUACAAUGCUGACACACAGCAUCUGGAUUGAACCAGCAUUUUUCUUCUGAAUGACCAGCCUUUCUACAGUGCUUGCAAGUCUGACCUUCUCUCCUUGCAGCAUCAUUCUUUGGCUUGUCUCUCCAGGCCUUCUUGCCUUUGUAGGCAGUAUUUGCUCUUGCCUAAAAGGCACCUUCUUGGUGCUCCUCCAGUCUGCUUGCUCUCCUCUGCUCUUGAGCAUAUAGAGCAUUGAUCAACUCUGUCAGGGAGAUGGUGGACAGAUCCCUUGAGUCCUCGAGAGAUGAGAUUUUUGCCUCAUACCUCUCAGGCAGAGUUGCUAUAACCUUCUCCACUAUCCUAGCUUCAUUGAACUGCUCUCCAAGGAGCCUGAUGCUGUUAACCACAGCCAUAAUCCUGUCAGAAUAUUGCUUGACAGUUUCUUCUUCCUUCAUCUUCAAAUUCUCGAAAUCUCUCCUCAAGUUUAACAACUGUUGCUGCCUUGUCCUCUCUGUCCCUUGAAACUCUUCCUGCAACUUAUCCCAGGCCUGUUUUGGUGAUUCACAGGCCAUAAUCCUUGUGAAAAUCACAUCAGACACUGAGUUUUGGAUGCAAGACAUAGCUUUGUGCCUCUUGGUCCUUUCAUCAGCAUGCUGCCUGAUCUGAGCCACUGUUGGAUUAGCUCUAAGUGGCUCUGGUUCAACAUCAAAGUUGACCACCUCCCACAGAUCGAAAGCCUGCAGGUAGGUCUUCAUUUUGACCACCCAUAUGUGAUAGCCUUCUCCAUUGAAGACUUGAGGUGCAGCUGGUGAAAAGCUUGAUGAAGCCAUGGAAUUGAGUAACAGAUCCCUUAAGAAAUAGGCUCUAGAUACCAAUUGUUGGUGCAAGAGCAGAAUCAAGCAGACUCAGCAAUAUCUUGUCAACCAAGUCUCGAGACUUGCUGAGCAAACAAGAGAAUUCAAGCCAGAAGAAAGAAAGAAAAAGCUAAGAAAAUGGAGAGGAAAAUUGAUGAACAAAAACUGAUUCUAUUCAUUAGUUGAACAAUGGCAUAAUGCCAAUACAUAAACCAAGCAAUUUGCUUGUCAAAAUCUGCAUAAUGAUACCUAAUCAUCACCUACUACCACUAAUACAUUGAAACUUGAAAAACUAAGCUUGCACACUUAAACAAAGCUGACUUAACAGCUUAAUUGUCAUCAAAAUACAUCAAUCAUAAACCUAACAUAGUUCUAAAUGAACUAAAGUACAUUACAUUAACUUAAGAUUACAAGUUGAACAAAA
rnacentral:lncRNA from 1 species